rnacentral:rRNA from 1 species
UACGGAGGAUCCAAGCGUUAUGCCGGAAUCAUUGGGUUUAAAGGGUCCGUAGGCGGUUUGGUAAGUCAGUGGUGAAAGCCCAUCGCUCAACGGUGGAACGGCCAUUGAUACUGCUAGACUUGAAUUAUUAGGAAGUAACUAGAAUAUGUAGUGUAGCGGUGAAAUGCUUAGAGAUUACAUGGAAUACCAAUUGCGAAGGCAGGUUACUACUAAUGGAUUGACGCUGAUGGACGAAAGCGUGGGUAGCGAACAGG